CAAGGCGACGAUACGUAGCCGACCUGAGAGGGUGAUCGGCCACACUGGAACUGAGACACGGUCCAGACUCCUACGGGAGGCAGCAGUAGGGAAUCUUCCGCAAUGGGCGAAAGCCUGACGGAGCAACGCCGCGUGAGUGAUGAAGGUCUUCGGAUCGUAAAACUCUGUUAUUAGGGAAGAACAUACGUGUAAGUAACUAUGCACGUCUUGACGGUACYUAAUCAGAAAGCCACGGCUAACUACGUGCCAGCAGCCGCGGUAAUACGUAGGUGGCAAGCGUUAUCCGGAAUUAUUGGGCGUAAAGCGCGCGUAGGCGGUUUUUUAAGUCUGAUGUGAAAGCCCACGGCUCAACCGUGGAGGGUCAUUGGAAACUGGAAAACUUGAGUGCAGAAGAGGAAAGUGGAAUUCCAUGUGUAGCGGUGAAAUGCGCAGAGAUAUGGAGGAACACCAGUGGCGAAGGCGACUUUCUGGUCUGUAACUGACGCUGAUGUGCGAAAGCGUGGGGAUCAAACAGGAUUAGAUACCCUGGUAGUCCACGCCGUAAACGAUGAGUGCUAAGUGUUAGGGGGUUUCCGCCCCUUAGUGCUGCAGCUAACGC
rnacentral:rRNA from 1 species